AAGGUCUUGGUCUUGAACCUCAUAUUACCUAAAAUCAUUUGUUUAUACAUGCAAGCCUCACCACAACGGUGAAACAGCCACAGCAACUCAGAGCCGGCAUCAGUCUAUCUUACCAUAACGCCAAGCAAUAGCCACACCCCCACGGGCAACACAGCAGUAGUUAACAUUAGGCCAUAAGUGAAAACUUGACCAAGCGAAAUGAACAAAGAGCCGGUUAAUCUCGUGCCAGCGACCGCGGUUACACGAUAGGCUCAAGAUAAUAUUAACGGCGUAAAAAUGACUAAAACCAACAGUUAUAACUUUAGGGUAAAAACCAAACUAGGCUGUAAAAAGCCAUAAGUCACAUUAAUUUCCCCCCCUAACACCACACAACUUUGACUCAUGAAAGCUAGGACACAAACUAAGAUUAGAUACCCUACUAUGCCUAGCCAUAAUACACAAUUAAAUUACCAAUUGUCCGCCAAACAACUACGAGUCAUACUUAAAACUUAAAAGACUUGACGGUACUUCACCACGACCUAGAGGAGCCUGUCUAAUAACCGACAAUCCACGAUUAACCCCACCCUUUCUUGCCCAACAGUCUAUAUACCGCCGUCGCCAGCUUACCUUGUAAAAGAAAUAAAGUGAGCCAAAAAGUACUACACUAAAACGACAGGUCGAGGUGUAACCAAUGAAAGGGACCAAGAUGGGCUACAUUCUCCAGCCGAGAAUACGAAUAGCACUAUGAAACUAGUGCCUGAAGGCGGAUUUAGCAGUAAGAUAAGAAUAAAACACCUAACUGAACACAACGCAAUGAAGUGCGCACACACCGCCCGUCAUCCCUGCCACUAUAUUACUCAUAUCAAUAAACCAACUAAAAAAAUCAAACAGGGCAAGUCGUAACAUGGUAAGUGUACUGGAAAGUGUACUUAGAAA
rnacentral:ncRNA from 1 species